GUGAAGGCAAGAGGAUGAGUUAUUGUCAGACAAAAAGUGAGGGCAAGGAAGAGUAUGUGGUGGUGUGAGUAGGUGGGGGGGCGGGGAAGGGCGAUCGGUCAACGGAUAGAGGCAACCCUGGGGGUAGAAGGCUGAGCUCACCAAGGAGGAGAGAUCGACGGGGAGGUUGGGGACCUGGAUGUCGGGUCAUCACAUCCUGGGGCUGUAGUGGGUCGCAAGGGUUGGGCUGUUGGCCCAGUAAAGUGGUACGCGAGCUGGGUUCAGAACGUCGUGAGACAGUUCGGUCCCUAUCCGUCGCAGGCGUAGGAAAUUUGAGAAGACCUGUCCUUAGUA
rnacentral:rRNA from 1 species